AAGAAAAAACCCACACCAAAACACGCCCACCCACCCCGGCUAUUAAUACGGAUCAAUCACGACAAAUUCAUCGGAUUAAUUGUGGCGAGGAGUGGGCGGGGGGGUGGUGGGAUGGGGGGGUGCUGGUGACAAUAAAUCCGAGCGGAGAGGAGGCUGCCCCCUCCCCAAAAGCAACCAGAGGCGAAGAAGAAUAAAUAAUAGAAGGAAUAAAAAAAAAAAGGAGGAAGAAGAAAAAAAAAAAAAAAAAAGGUGCUGAUGAGGCUCGAAUACGCUCCAGCGGGGACGGCGGCACCGGUGCGCGCUUUCUGCUGCCUCGCCCCGACCGCGGGGGGGUGCAGCGGGCCGGGCCCCCCCCGGGCUGCUUGGCGGAGGAGGUUGGAGGGGAUGCUGAGGGAGGGGGGGGCGGCGGAGGGAGCCCCUGCCCCGGGGCGCUGCGGGGCGGCCCCGGCGCUGCCGGCCCCCGGCGGUCCCGGCCCGGCCCCGCUCCGCUCCGCGCCGGUCACGUGGAGCCGGAGCCGCCGCCGCCCGCUCCCCGCCGCGCGAAAUGCGGCGCCCCGGCCGCGCGAAAUAAGUCGCGGGCAUGCGCGCAGGGCCUGCGCACUGCGCGGGUGGGGGCAGGCGGGAGGCAGGGGGAGGCCCGGCCGCACCCCCCCGCCCGGCUGUGGCGCGGUUCCCGCCCCGCUGCCCCCCCCUCCCGUCGAGUUUGGGCUCAGUUCUCGCCGUCCCGUGUCCCCGCUCCGUGUCUGCUUCCCCCCCUGCCGGCUCGCAGCCCCCCCCUCGGGUGCCCUCCCGCACCGCCCCCCGGGGACGCGGCGUGGCUGCUGCCCCUCGAGGGGAGCCCCCCGCCCGUGGGGGCAGCGCCCCAACAUGGCCGCCCCUCCGUCAUGGUGCCCUGCCCGUGUGGAGCCAGCGGCCGCCUCGCCUUCAGCUCCAACCGCUGCUGGGCGGCAGGGACGUGUUACCCUCAUCACCUGCCUCGCCUCAUGGCCGGAGCCCUGACAAGUGUCCGAUAACUGAGCUCCAAGCACCCGAUGACUGAGCUUGUGCUCGUGGUCACCCUUUUCAUCCUCAUCUUCCUCCAUCUCCUCCACAGGGGAAUGGGCUGAGGGAAGAGGCAUGGAAGGCGAAGCCGUUGGGUCUGCAUUAGGAGCGGGGACCUGGGAGGACGAGAAGAUUUGCUAGGAUGGAAGAUGGAGGAACAAACCACAGCCAGCAGGAGCGAGGCAAAUGACAUUUUGCCACCGCUCUCCACACAACAUCUCCCGUGUGGUAUGCAGUGACUUUUGAGCUGCUACGUAUGGGUGUGAACCAAAAGAAAAGGAAGUACAAAGCCGUCGGUAACCUGAUAGUGUAAGAGUGUGUACCUUGCAGAAGGCCACGCUGCUCCUUGCAGAGGCACAUGGCUGGUUUUUAAACAUUCUCAAAUAUCAAGCUGGAGAACAUCACCUCCUAGAUCUGACCCUAGAUCUCCCUGUUCAGAUUUCUUGCUGUUCAACGCUACGUUUUGCUACCUUGCUUCAGUUUCUUGUGUCUCACUUCUAGCUGCCUGCCAGGUCUAUAUAAUCUGACUAUACAGAAGAGGUUGUACGGGUAUUGUUAAAGUGAUGCAAUUUGUGUGUACAGGCAAGCUCAAAUAUUACAAAGUCUCUGUCUUCUGAGAAAUAUUAAGCUCUACUGUAUCAAACAACUGUUACCUGUUGGGCUUUUUGGAAAAUAACUAUGUAAUUUCCAGGGCAAUGUAAUUGAUUACAGUUUCCUGCACAUCCAUCACCAUUAAAGUGACUUAAGAGACCUGUAGUCGGAUGUGUUUCUGCUGACAUUCAUUGCAUGGCUGAAAGUCUGCUCAGUCUGUUUUGUUCCUGAAUGCACGUAUGUGGAAAACAGAAAUGGUGUGUGAUUUAUUUUACGUUCUUUAUAGAAACAAAUCCGUAGAUUUGCAUGUCUACUGAAAAAAAAUAAAAAAUGAAAACACAUCCAUCUAA